UUUUUUAAAAUAGGGUUUUAUCAUUGAUUUUAGAGGGAAGUAGACUAAAAGAUAGCUGAGACUCCUACUUGGGAACAAGAGAGGUACAAACCGGGACCUGUGGCUCCUGUGUGGAAAUGCACGUUGGUAUACGGCGAGGGAUCCCGCUAUCUCUGAUCCACUUACCUGCAGGCAGCCGGCAUGCCUCACUGAUGCUGACACCAUAAGUACAACCCUGGCGGGGCAUCCUUCGCUAUCAGGCAGCAGUUGGAGCUCCUCACCUGUCGCCCCGAGGGCGGCUUGUGCUGGGUUUCUCCAACUGUCCCCAUAAGCUGGCCCAGGGUGAGAUAGUGUCCUUAGAAACCUGGAUGUUUUGCUGACUGAGGGGCCAAUCUUGCUUUCAAAUCUGCCUCAUACCUCUCCUCAGGCUUGAAAAACUUCUGAUGCAUGAGAGCACCUCAAAGUUUCUCUGAAGUCUGAGUGGCUGUUUUCAAGAGGAAAAUUGCCAGAGCAUGUAACGGCCAUCUCUGGCAUGAAACUGCAGCGAAAAAUACAACUUAUCUGUGCUAGUGACACAAAAGUAUGUGGCAGCUCCCCCAGGUUUUGUCUAAGCCACUACUGGUUUGGCAGGGGUGUUUUUGUUUGCUUGGGGGGUUUUGUUUGGGUUUUUUUGUCUGUUUUUGUGGUUCCUUAGGAGUAUGGAUUGUAUCCUGAGGGGUGCUGGAGAGCCCCAGAGCUUGGAGCUGCAGCUGGGGACAACCAUUACUUUUACAUGAUGUCUGCUAUAUCAGGGUGUGAGCACCUCUGGAGAAAGGCUGGCAUCUUGAGGAGGGGAAAAUGGGGCUGUUGCGUGAGACUUGGUGUCUUUGACUUAUCUGAGUCACCAUCACAAACAGCUGAAGGAAAUAGGCUGGUUGAUGUAUGUGCUAUUGCUAAAUAGCAUUCAAAAUGUGAAAUCUGUCUGCUUUUCCCGGGUGUGGGGGGAGGGGGGAAGAAUCUGUUUUCAUCUUUCUUCUCUAUCCUGCCAUAAUUAUUUUUUUUUUCAAAAAAGCACAAACCAAACCAAACCAACCACAACAACACAGCCCCCACCCCAUAAUAAAAGAAAACUUCUGGGAACUUAAUUAUCUUUUAAUACCCCUUUGCCAAGCUGGAUUGAAAUCAGUCAAGUCCAAAAGCUAUUUAAAGUGGAGGGAUAGACUGAGAGUUUAAUUGCAUUGUAGGGUCAUAGGACAAUUCAGGUUGGAAGGGGCUUUGAUAGAUCAUCCACUCCAACCUAUUAAUGGAAGCAGGGUCAGCUAUUUUAGCUUAUGAAACCGGGCUGUAAAAAAAAACACGAAGCAAAAAUACCCCUGUUGACUCCAAGUCCUGCAGUGAUCACUGAAGACCAGAGCGUAGCUCUAUGUGUGUGUGUGUAUGCGCGUGUGUGUUUUCCACAAGCUGUGGUUUCCACAGAGUAACAGGCCUCUUCCUCUGGGCUUUUGUUACCAGCUGUGCUGUUGUCUCCUGACCUCUGUCUUUGGAGCAGAGAGGGGUGGGUUGCGAAUGGUCUUGAGGCCCUGGCCUGGCCUCACUCUCAGCUAGCCAGCAAAGCCAUGGUGGGAUCACACAGGCUGGCAUUUCGAGGGGUAACAGAACACGCUUUCCUGAAACGCUUGCUGUAAUGGGUAAAAUCAAGAGCCUCUCCUGGCAGAGCAGCACCAUCCGUAGGGAAAGUGAGUUGCUGCAAAAAAGCUAAGCCCUGGCCCUUCAGUGCCACUCAAAAUCUCAGGAAAACUGAAAGGGAUUUUUCUGGAAUAAGUACAAAGAGGACAAUAGAGAAAAAGAUUGACAAAAUUAUUUUUUUUUUAAAAUGUGUGGAGAUCAAGGUGGCUUCUAAUAAUCUGUCUUGCUUUUUCUUUAAAAGAAAGCAAUCCUUUUAACAUUUUCCUAUGGCACACUGCAUCCAAACACAACAGCGACAAGCUGGUUCAUGGGAACCGGAAACUGAGACAGGCUAGAAAACAACAUCCUUGGGGGGGGGGGGGAAAGAA